GUCUACGGCCAUGCCACACUGAACGCGCCCGCUCUCGUCUCAUCUCGGAAGCUAAGCAGGGUCGGCCUGGUUAGUACUUGGUUGGGAGAACGCCUGGGAAUACCAGGUGCUGUAGGCU
rnacentral:rRNA from 1 species